rnacentral:rRNA from 1 species
ACGGGGCGCAGCAGGCGCGAAAACUGUGCAAUGCGCGAAAGCGCGACACGGGAAACCUGAGUGCCUUGACAAAGUCAAGGCUUUUCUUAAGCCUAAAAAGCUUAAGGAAUAAGAGCUGGGUAAGACGGGUGCCAGCCGCCGCGGUAACACCCGCAGCUCAAGUGGUGGUCACUUUUAUUGAGCCUAAAGCGUUCGUAGCCGGUCCUGUAAAUCUUCAGAAAAAUUCUCCCGCUCAACGGGAGAUCCUCUGAAGAGACUGUGGGACUAGGGACUGGGUGAGGUUGAAUGUACUUCUGGGGUAGGGGUAAAAUCCUGUAAUCCUGGAAGGACAACCGGUGGCGAAGGCGUUCAACUAGAACAGAUCCGACGGUGAGGAACGAGGGCUAGGGGAGCAAACCGGAUUAGAUACCCGGGUAGUCCUAGCUGUAAACACUGCCCACUUGGUGUUGCCUCUCCGUUGAGGGGAGGCAGUGCCGGAGCGAAGGUGUUAAGUGGGCCGCUUGGGGAGUAUGGUCGCAAGGCUGAAACUUAAAGGAAUUGGCGGGGGAGCACCGCAACGGGAGGAGCGUGCGGUUUAAUUGGAUUCAACGCCGGAAAACUCACCGGGAGCGACCUUCGGAUGAGAGUCAACCUGACGAGUUUACUCGAUAGAAGGAGAGGUGGUGCAUGGCCGUCGUCAGCUCGUACCGUAGGGCGUUCACUUAAGUGUGAUAACGAGCGAGACCCCCAUCUCUAAUUGCCAGGCUGUCUUGGCGGACAGCGGCACUUUAGAGGGACCGCCAGCGCUAAGCUGGAGGAAGGAGGGGUCGACGGCAGGUCAGUACGCCCCGAAUCUCCCGGGCAACACGCGCGCUACAAAGGACAGGACAAUGAGUUGCGACCUCGAAAGGGGUAGCUAACCUCGAAACCUGUUCGUAGUUAGGAUUGAGGGCUGUAACUCGCCCUCAUGAAUGUGGAUUCCGUAGUAAUCGCGGGUCAACAGCCCGCGGUGAAUAUGCCCCUGCUCCUUGCACACACCGCCCGUCAAACCAUCCGAGCUGGUGUUGGAUGAGGGUAUGUUCGAGAGAACAAACUCGAAUCUGAUGUCAGUGAGGAGGGUUAAGUCGUAACAAGGUAGCCGU